GCAAUUUUCAGUGUUCUUUGUAGGAAAAGCUUGUUGAAGUUCAAUUACCCUUUUGAGUCCAAAUUCCAUAUUAAACUGUCACCAGAGAAGCUUUUAGAUAAAAAUCUGUGGCUGAGUAUUUUCCCUAGAGCUGGGUAAAUAUUUCUGUUAGCCAAGUAACUGAGCCCUUUUUCAGUUCACAGACUAUCUGUGCAGAGGUUGCAAGUUUCUCAUGUUUUGGGGUCACUGUUUAGAUUAGCUUUAUGCUGUUGUUUCUACUCUCAAAUGGAACAGUGAAAAACAAGGGGUCUGAAACAUCAGUGUGUAAUUUUGGUGGAAGGAGUUUAACUGUUUGUCCAAGAGGACACGCAGGGAUUUGGCUGGGACGGACUAACACGAAGGCAACAAGCAAAAGGUAUUUUCUCUUGAGUCUGGAAUUUUCUUUGUGAGAAGAAGCUGCAAGAGAUGCUCCCUCCCUUUUAGCAUUGCUGCUGAAUAAGAAAUAAACUUUGGUAAAAUUGUUAGUUAAAUGAAGGAACCAUUUUAUGCAUGCAGUCCCCAGAGGUCUUGUGGGAACUGUUGUGCUUUUCUUGCCUUAAUUUCAGUGUUGUUAUUUGGGUAGUGGUUAAUGUACUUAUCUCCAAGCAGUUUAGUGUCUUCUAGUUACCAUAUAUUAUUGCUAAAUGCCUUAUCUUCCUUUCUUAGAGAAACUGAGGGUUUUUCUUACUGCAAAGCUCUUACCAAAGUUCAGGUAACACAGUCUCAAUUUUUUUGUCUUGGUUUGGUGUUUUUUCCCAAAUAUUUUCCCAAAUAUUUUCCCCCACAUGUCUGCUGGCACAAGAGUCCAUGUGAGCUCUCCCUCACCAGUGUCAAACAUGGACCCUCCAGGAUCUCCCAUCGCUCCUGUCCCCUCCCAGCUCCUGCUUCAGGAGAAAGAUAAUUUGCGGAGUGAUGCCUGACCCAGCUAAGGUCUUUGUGGGUCCAUCAGAGCCACGGCCAGCCACCACAGCUGUACCCACUGGAAGGUGACAUGCAGCACCAGCCCUGUGGGAUAGUGUGUGGCACCUUCGGGAACCUGUGACCGCGGCAUUUGCUCCUAAGAUGAUUUCCUCUGGCUCAUAAGAAAGGAAGGGAUGCCCUCAUCCUGAUAAAUGAAGGACAAAAAGUGACUGAAUCAGACAGCAGCGUGGAGAGGGAAGGGGACAGCCCUGGCUGUGUGUCCCUGUUUCCAGGGCAAGGUGGCAGCUCAGCGUGGCGUUAGCAGCGCACGAGGCUGCGUGCUCAGUAUUCGCCCUGGCACACAAAGUGAGUGAAUUCCAGUCUGAACCUCUUCCCAGAAUGCCUCAAAUAUGGUUUGGGUCUGGUAUUGAGCAGAAGAAACGUGGACAGACAACUUCCCAUCCUGACCCCCUGAUUUAUUCUGAUUCUUUUCACUGGGGACAUGGGGCAUAUUAAAAAUAGGGGCCAUUGCUGACAGAUAACUGUGGCACGUGGAGCACAGGGACUGCUGUUUCCCAGAACUGCCUGUCAUCUGUAUUCUCUUUGUGCCGUUGCUGUAUAUGGCUUCAUUACUAAGUGGCUGACCUGCACCGAGCGGCUUGUCAGAAGCAGAGGUUUCAGCUUGAUGGUUGCUGGCUCCAAAACAUUACCUGGUGACUGGCUGGGAGAAAGGCAAGCUGCAAACGCAGCCCUCGGAAAUCCUCCUUCUUAUUCUGGGGGCAUGUAGCAGAGUGGCUACAAACUUUUCUCUCUUGAUGCUUGAGAGUGACAAAUGGUGGCUGUUUCUUUUGAAUGUGCAAUUAUUGAUGCGCUGGCUGGCUGUUAGGUUUCCCCAGCAAAUGGAUGGGACGUUAUUGCGGUUUGUUUUAAAGGUUUAAUUUUUAAUAGAAAUUUGCCACUUCGUGCCAUCAUAUUGAUUUUAAGAACAGCCCAUUGUGACAGACCUGCAUAUAUUUUAAAAUAAUUAUUCUACUAAAGACCCUUGCUUUCCUUCUG